rnacentral:rRNA from 1 species
AACGCGAAGAACCUUACCCAGACUUGACAUGCAGGAGACGAUAGCAGAAAUGUUAUUUCCCUUCGGGGCUGCUGCACAGGUGCUGCAUGGCUGUCGUCAGCUCGUGCCGUGAGGUGUUGGGUUAAGUCCCGCAACGAGCGCAACCCUUAUCGUUAGUUGCCAUCGCGUGAUGGCGGGCACUCUAGCGAGACUGCCUGGGUUAACCAGGAGGAAGGUGAGGAUGACGUCAAGUCAGCAUGGCCUUUAUGUCUGGGGCGACACACGUGCUACAAUGGCCGGUACAGAGGGCAGCAAAGUCGCGAGAUGGAGCAAAUCCUUAAAGCCGGUCUCAGUUCGGAUUGUAGUCUGCAACUCGACUACAUGAAGUUGGAAUUGCUAGUAAUGGCGCGUCAGCCACAGCGCCGUGAAUACGUUCCCGGGCCUUGUACACACCGGAGUA